CCUACGGGCGACAGCAGUCGAGAAUCAUUCACAAUGGGGGAAACCCUGAUGGUGCGACGCCGCGUGGGGGAAUGAAGGUCUUCGGAUUGUAAACCCCUGUCAUGUGGGAGCAAAUUAAAAAGAUAGUACCACAAGAGGAAGAGACGGCUAACUCUGUGCCAGCAGCCGCGGUAAUACAGAGGUCUCAAGCGUUGUUCGGAAUCACUGGGCGUAAAGCGUGCGUAGGCUGUUUCGUAAGUCGUGUGUGAAAGGCGCGGACUCAACCCGCGGACGGCACAUGAUACUGCGAGACUAGAGUAAUGGAGGGGGAACCGGAAUUCGCGGUGUAGCAGUGAAAUGCGUAGAUAUCGAGAGGAACACUCGUGGCGAAGGCGGGUUCCUGGACAUUAACUGACGCUGAGGCACGAAGGCCAGGGGAGCGAAAGGGAUUAGAUACCCCUGUAGUC
rnacentral:rRNA from 1 species